GCCUUGCGUUCUUCUCCUGAUGUUAUUUUUGCUUCAUUUACGUCAUUUAGCUUGUUGUAUUCAGUCAUGGCUGAUCAGAUACGAUAACCCCAACAUAUCAAGCAAGAGUAAAUAAAAAAAAAGCAAUUACAAUUGAGCCUCUCGUAUGCAACAAUUGUUUCAUCUCGCCAUCGAUGCAAAAUACGAUAGUAUCAAGGAUGAUCUCCCAAUUUGUCAAGCCACGUUUCAGGGGUUCCCCCCUUCACCAACAGCACGACCUCGGGUUGGAUUUUGGUCAUUCCUCUUAAGCUUUUAUUUCUACUUCCAGGCAAUGGACACAUUCCGAUUUGAUAGACCAUGCAUGUGAGACACACGAACACAGUUCUAAAUCCGAAUCGUUUCCCAAGGGUGAAGCGAACCCCCAGUUCGGAGACAAAAAGUAUCCACUGAUGUUAUCCCGUGGAGCUUUGGGAUAGGAAAAUAUCAGCCAACAGCUCGAGGCUCUUUCUGUUAAUGUAUAAAUGUUUGCCUGCGGUUUCAUCACCCGACGUCCUCCGUCGGAUGACCCGAAUUCGAGAACAUUCUUCACGUGAUACCGUUAUUCUCCUAUAAAGAAAAAGAAACAGCUUGCAUCUAAUGAGUAUUUUAAGUUAGCAACAAGGCUUCUGCUUUCAAAAAAUAAAAUGCCAACAGUUAAGAAA